AUGAAUUUAAGCAGUAGUUCUAGUUGGAUGGGCUUUAUUGUGUUGACCGUGUUAUUUCUCAGGAACCAAAGAAAAGCAACGUGGUCAUCUGGAGGUAGUGAUCCACAGGUGUCCUCAGCCUGGCAGGACCUGGUUUCUGUUUUCUCUGGGGGAAAAAAAAAAAAAAAAAAAAAAAGUGAGAAAAGUGGGAGUUUGCAGUUUAUUAAACACCAGAGAAUCUACAGCAGCCAGCAGCAUUAUAAACACUUCAAGAUUCAAAAUACUGGAAAAGCUUUACACAGACAUACAACUUCCUGA
rnacentral:lncRNA from 1 species